rnacentral:lncRNA from 1 species
GGAGUGUCGCUCAUGUUGCCAGGCUGGAGUGCAGUGGCGCCAUCUCGGCUCACUGCAAGCUCCGCCUCCCAGGUUCACGCCAUUCUCCUGCCUCAGCCUCUGGAGUAGCUGGGACUACAGGCGCUCGCCACCAUGCCCGGCUAAUUUUUUGUAUGUUUUUAGUAGAGACAGAGUUUCACCAUGUUAGCCAGGAUGGUCUUGAUCUCCCGACCUCGUGAUCCGCCCGUCUCCGCCUCCCAAAGUGCUGGGAGCAUUCUUUACCUUUCAACUUUCCAAAAUGGUGCAGGCACCAAGUUUAAAACAGUGAAUGGAGCUACAAAGUUAUGCAGAAGCAGACACUAAGCUACAAGCUGUGUGCUAAUUUGAUUUCCCUAGAGGCAACUCUUGAGAUGUUUUGUGAGCAGUUGUAUGAACCCAAAAUGGAGUCAAGAGCUGGACUUAGACAGAUUGGAGCAUAAGAUCACAACUGCUAUGAAGACAUCAAUUAUGGCCAGACAUCCUUUACUAAACGGCAUCCCUCUGACCCUGCACAAUUUUUCAAAUUGUAACAGAACACAAGUCUUCCAAUGCCAGUUUUUUGUUUUUGUAUUUUUCAGAAUAGAAAACAAUGUACUGAGGAAAACAGAAAGUGAAGAAAGUAUAAGGUAUGAGGGUUACAGUUACUUUCAUGGGAAUGGCAAUUCUUGGAUUGUAUGUUAAAUAUCAAAGCACUGAAACCCAAAAGAAGUGGAAUGGGUAGGAUUAUUAGGCAAAACAUAAGACAUCCAGUUAUAUUCUAAUUUCACAUGAACAAUGAAUACUUUUUAGUAUAGCUAUCUACCAAAGAUUGCAUGGUACUUGCCCAGUGAAUGUCCACUCUCGCUAUUUUGGUUGGGG